GGGCUCCUCAGUAUAAAAUGGCGUCCCUGCCAAGGCGGGAGGGGAGGGGGUCCCGCUUUCUCCGUGCCAGGCGCUUCCUCAGGUCCUGGACAUCUUUAAGCUCCGACUCGGAGGGGCGGCCUCAUUGAGCCCUCCGCCAACUCAGCUGAGAGCCCGCAUCCGAGCCUAGGAGCAGAGGGGCCCCACUGCCCGUCCCUGGCUUUGGGGCUUACGGAGCAGUCACGCCUCCGAUACUUCCUCUCGGUUUUCGGGCUUAUUUGUAAAGUGUUCAAACUUCACAACAUCCCCGGCCAGGGGGUCUUGGACGGCCUAAGGCGCUUGGUUUGGCUGGGAUGUUCCUGUCCCUAUAUCCGUCCCCCUAAACCUGAAAUCCAAGGAACCCCGAACUUGCAACAAAGACACACCUCCUCUGGGUCGCCUGUCUGGGAAUGAAUGGUGCUUACAAGACACUGGCGUGUGUUGGGGGCGCGCGGUUGUCAUUUGAAAUAAUUUUCCGUUCCAGGUGGACAGCGCGUCCUCCGGCCCUGCUUCGCCGCUUUUAGUAGCUGCUCUGAUCUUAGGACUAAGUCACGUAAUUUCUGAGGGCGCCCACGGCGACGCGCCGGCGGCCAGCGCCAGGCCGAGCCCAGUGCGCCUGCAGGACCCGGCCCCUUCUCCCGGCGCGGGACGCGGAGCUGCGCGAAGGUCCGGUCUGCGCGGACUCGACGCCAGGGCGCCGCCUAGAGGUUGGCCGCCGCCUCGGCCUCACCCUCCGGCGACCACGGAGCUGCUCCCCCUGCCGCCGCCAGACACUGGGGCGGGGGAGGUGGGGGGAGUCCAGUUUGGGUUCCAGAGACUGGGCUCCUGGCACCUUUGACUUCUCCGAGAC
rnacentral:lncRNA from 1 species